AACUAACGCUGGCGGCAUGCCUAACACAUGCAAGUCGAACGAGACCUUCGGGUCUAGUGGCGCACGGGUGCGUAACGCGUGGGAACCUGCCCUUAGGUUCGGAAUAACUCCCCGAAAGGGGUCCUAAUACCGGAUAAUGUAUUCGGCCCAAAGAUUUAUCGCCUUUGGAUGGGCCCGCGUUGGAUUAGCUAGUUGGUAGGGUAAAAGCCUACCAAGGCGACGAUCCAUAGCUGGUCUGAGAGGAUGAUCAGCCACACUGGGACUGAGACACGGCCCAGACUCCUACGGGAGGCAGCAGUGGGGAAUAUUGGACAAUGGGCGAUAGCCUGAUCCAGCAAUGCCGCGUGAGUGAUGAAGGCCGUAGGGUUGUAAAGCUCUUUUACCCGGGAUGAUAAUGACAGUACCGGGAGAAUAAGCACCGGCUAACUCCGUG
rnacentral:rRNA from 1 species